rnacentral:rRNA from 1 species
CCUACGGGGGGCAGCAGUGAGGAAUAUUGGUCAAUGGACGAGAGCCUGAACCAGCCAAGUAGCGUGAAGGAUGACUGCCCUAUGGGUUGUAAACUUCUUUUAUAUGGGAAUAAAAUGUUCCACGUGUGGGAUUUUGUAUGUACCAUAUGAAUAAGGAUCGGUUAACUCCGUGCCAGCAGCCGCGGUAAUACGGAGGAUCCGAGCGUUAUCAGGAUUUAUUGGGUUUAAGGGGAGCGUAGGUGGAUUGUUAAGUCAGUUGUGAAAGUUUGCGGCUCAACCGUAAAAUUGCAGUUGAAACUGGCAGUCUUGAGUGCAGUAGAGGUGGGCGGAAUUCGUGGUGUAGCGGUGAAAUGCUUAGAUAUCACGAAGAACUCCGAUUGCGAAGGCAGCUCACUGGACUGCAACUGACACUGAGGCUCGAAAGUGUGGGUAUCAAACAGGAUUAGAUACCCUGGUAGUC